rnacentral:misc_RNA from 1 species
AAAUUUCACGUUAGAUGUUUUAUAAUGAUUAAAGUUGUUAGAUGUGUCAAAUAUGUCAAAUGAGUUAUGUUGAGUCGUGUCAAAGCGUGCUAAAUGGGUUGAGUCAUGUCAAAUUAACCCUACACAAUUUAAUACUAAUCAUGUUAUGUGUGUUGUGUCAAGUAAGCCAUAUAUUAAAAGGGUUGUGAUUAUGAUCAAAUUAAUCAUGUAGUGUUUGUAUCGACCUAAUAUUAUUCGUGUUGUGUAUUGACAGUACACUAACGAAUACAACCUAUCAACUUGAAUUGCUAUUCCUUGUCAUAGUAAGUAUCUAAGUAUUGCAGGUUAAGUAGCAUAAACCUGGAAAAAAGAAGUGACACAACAUGAUAUAUUGAUAUGACAUUUUCUGAAAAUGUAAUACAGGAAAUGCUGGGAAACAUCGUAUUAAAAAAUAUAUAUUUUUUUGUUUAUGGUUACUUCAGUUUUACACUGCAAUAAUCUUAAUAUAAUCCCAAAUCUUCAACAAAAUUUCGUAUUGCACUUAGCCUUAAUAAAUUUAAUAACUUGUGUUAUUCUUCAAUAAGGAGAGUUCUAGUUUCAUCUUUGUGUAAAUUGUGAAAAUAAAAAUUUCGGUUUCUUUUUAUUCUAUUUCUCAAUCCCUUUUCCCUUAAGAACAUAAAUUUUUAAAAGUGAAUUGUAAAUUAACCUGCCUAGUUUUCUAAAAGUUUCAUUGAAAUUCCCAAAAUUUGGAAAAUAAAAUAAAAUAAAGGGAAACUUUUUUGAAGUUUCCUAGUGAUUUUGGUGUCUGAAAAAGUAUCUGACAUGGGAACAUUGUUCUGUAUAAUCAAGGCGCAAUAUUUUUCCUUGUACAUUUAUCAGUUUCUUAUUUUUUAUUGUGCUUGUUUGGAGAUGUUAUUUGUUUAUUCUUGCUCUAGUUGUUGCUGGAGCAGAACUGCAGUUAAUACAAAAUCUCAUGAUGUAGAUUACUUUUUGUAAUUCAUGACUAGUUUCAUGUUGCAGUUGCAAGUGUCCUCAACAUUAAGACGUUUCCCAUAUCUAACGAUGUGAGCAAUACUUUCAGCCACACUACUUGACUUUUCGGUUUACAACUUCUUAAUUCACCUUUGGUGGUAGAUGCAUAACUUGUAAUGGUGUGAAGUGGUUAAACAAUGGAGGGAAGAAAAGACUCAUUGAUAUAUUCUUUUGAUGAAAAAGAAAUUGGUCAAUUAAGAAAAUUAAAGCAGAUGAUAAUAGGAGGAAAAAAAUCCGCCUAGACGAAACAAACUAACAAACAA